rnacentral:rRNA from 1 species
CCUACGGGAGGCAGCAGUGGGGAAUAUUGGACAAUGGGGGAAACUCUGACGCAGCGACGCCGCGUGAGUGAAGAAGUAUUUCGGAUUGUAAAGCUCUAUCAGCAGGGACGAAAAUGACGGUACCAGCUAAAGAAGCCCCGGCUAACUUCGUGCCAGCAGCCGCGGUAAUACGUAGGGGGCAAGCGUUAUUCGGAUUUACUGGGCGUAAAGGGAGUGUAGACGGUAGAAUAAGAUUGGAGUGAAAUGCCAGGGCUUAACUCUGGAACUGCUAUGAUAACUAUGAAACUAGAGUUACAGAGAGGAUAGUGGAAUUCCUAGUGUAGCGGUGAAAUGCGUAGAUAUUGGGUAGAACACCAGUGGCGAAGGCGACUAACUGG